CUUUAUCCUUGAAACUUUUUCCACAACUCCCACAAGCAAAAGGCUUCUCACCUGUGUGAAUUCUCAUGUGCCGAGUUAAAGUCC